UCGAUCUCUUGCAUUGACAAGCAGAGAAAAAUUAAUAGAGCCUUCUGCGCUUGUAGUAAGAGCUCAGCCAUUUUGUAUUCAGAAUAAUUUUUUCAACAAUAUAAAAGCUCACAGAUUACAGUAGGUGCCACAAGAUUAUAAAUUCAAAUUUCUUUAUAGGAUGCUGAGCAAGACUCAAUUGAUUUGGCCGAUGACUGGACACCUAUGGUGAUGCGAAGAAGAAGACAUUGCACAUGAUAAGGAUAGAGCAGGUGUGUUUCAAUCAAUCACAAAGACUUUUGGGGACGGCAGCAUCAGGUUGGAAAAAUCAGAUCCGGCAAAGGAUGGAGACAAUUAUCAGGUAGUGUGCUGCUUCAAUCAGAAGAUUUGAAUAAUUUUCAUAUUUUUUUAAUAAUUGAUAAUGUGUAAGUUUAUUCACUUUAAUUUAUAUUAAAAUUUAUCUUCGUUUUUAUUUUA